UGGGGAAUUUUCCGCAAUGGGCGCAAGCCUGACGGAGCAAUACCGCGUGAGGGAGGAAGGCUUUUGGGUUGUAAACCUCUUUUCUCAAGGAAGAAGACAGUGACGGUACUUGAGGAAUCAGCAUCGGCUAACUCCGUGCCAGCAGCCGCGGUAAUACGGAGGAUGCAAGCGUUAUCCGGAAUCAUUGGGCGUAAAGCGUCCGCAGGUGGCCUGUCAAGUCUGCUGUCAAAGACUAGAGCUCAACUCUGGAAAGGCAGUGGAAACUGGGAGGCUAGAGUACGGUAGGGGUAGGGGAAUUUCCAGUGUAGCGGUGAAAUGCGUAGAGAUUGGAAAGAACACCAGUGGCGAAGGCGCUCUACUGGACCUGUACUGACACUAAGGGACGAAAGCUAGGGGA
rnacentral:rRNA from 1 species